GCCCUCGUAGCUCAGUCGGUAGAGCGCAUCCUUGGUAAGGAUGAGGUCACCGGUUCAAGCCCGGUCGAGGGCUCCA
rnacentral:tRNA from 2 species